AUGUCCUUUAAAUGUAGUCCAGAGAGGCUAACAAGGUGAACGGGUAUUGAAUAGGUUAAAUUCUAUUCAAGCAAUAUCGAUUCGCUUUUGCCUCUAGGUAAAAGCUUUUUUUAUU
rfam:Tepidibacillus sp. Z9 scaffold00001, whole genome shotgun sequence.